rnacentral:rRNA from 1 species
UACGGGAGGCAGCAGUGGGGAAUAUUGCACAAUGGGCGCAAGCCUGAUGCAGCCAUGCCGCGUGUAUGAAGAAGGCCUUCGGGUUGUAAAGUACUUUCAGUCGUGAGGAAGGUGUUAAGGUUAAUAACCUUAGCAAUUGACGUUAGCGACAGAAGAAGCACCGGCUAACUCCGUGCCAGCAGCCGCGGUAAUACGGAGGGUGCGAGCGUUAAUCGGAAUUACUGGGCGUAAAGGGCACGCAGGCGGUUAAUUAAGUUGGAUGUGAAAUCCCCGGGCUUAACCUGGGAAUGGCAUUCAAGACUGGUUAGCUAGAGUCUUGUAGAGGGGGUAGAAUUCCAUGUGUAGCGGUGAAAUGCGUAGAGAUGUGGAGGAAUACCGGUGGCGAAGCGGCCCCUGGACAAGACUGACGCUCAUGUGCGAAGCGUGGGGAGCAAACGAGGAUUAGAUACC